rnacentral:tRNA from 1 species
GGAGAGUUGGCUGAGUGGUCGAAAGCGGUGGUCUUGAAAACCAUUGACUCGAAAGGGUCCGGGGGUUCGAAUCCCUCACUCUCCGCCA